GUGCUCACUUUGGCAGCACAUAUACUAAAAUUGAAACAACACAGAGAAGAUUAGCAUCACCCCUGCGCAAGGAUGACACGCAAAUUUGUGAAGCUUACCAUAUUUUU
rnacentral:snRNA from 1 species